UACGAAGGGGGCUAGCGUUGCUCGGAAUCACUGGGCGUAAAGGGCGCGUAGGCGGCCAUUCAAGUCGGGGGUGAAAGCCCAGGGCUCAACCCAAGGACUGCAUCCGAUACUGCUGUGACUUGAGUCCGGUAGGGGAGUGGGGAAUUCCUGGUGUAGCGGUGGAAUGCGCAGAUAUCAGGAGGAACACCGGUGGCGAAGGCGGAUCUCUGGGCCAUUACUGACGCUGAGGAGCGAAAGCGUGGGGAGCGAACAGG
rnacentral:rRNA from 1 species